GAGUUUGAUCGUGGCUCAGAGUGAACGCUGGCGGUAGGCCUAACACAUGCAAGUCGAACGGUAACAGGUCUUUCGGGAUGCUGACGAGUGGCGGACGGGUGAGGAAUACAUCGGAAUCUGCUCAGUCGUGGGGGAUAACGCAUGGAAACGUGCGCUAAUACCGCAUACGACCUUCGGGUGAAAGCAGGGGAAUCUUUAGGGAUCCUUGCGCGAUUGAAUGAGCCGAUGUCGGAUUAGCUAGUUGGUAGGGUAAAAGCCUACCAAGGCGACGAUCCGUAGCUGGUCUGAGAGGAUGAUCAGCCACACUGGGACUGAGACACGGCCCAGACUCCUGCGGGAGGCAGCAGUGGGGAAUAUUGGACAAUGGGGGCAACCCUGAUCCAGCCAUACCGCGUGGGUGAAGAAGGCCUUCUGGGUUGUAAAGCCCUUUUGUUGGGGAAGAAAAACAACGGGUUAAUACCCCGUUGGUAUGACGGUACCCAAAGAAUAAGCACCGGCUAACUUCGUGCCAGCAGCCGCGGUAAUACGAAGGGUGCAAGCGUUACUCGGAAUUACUGGGCGUAAAGGGUGCGUAGGUGGUUGCGCCAGUCUGUCGUGAAAGCCCUGGGCUUAGCCUGGGAAUGGCGAUGGAAACUGUGCAACCAGAGUGUGACAGAGGGUGGUGGAAUUCCUGGUGUAGCAGUGAAAUGCGUAGAGAUCAGGAGGAACAUUCGUGGCGAAGGCGGCCACCUGGGUCAACACUGACACUGAGGCACGAAAGCGUGGGGAGCAAACAGGAUUAGAUACCCUGGUAGUCCACGCCCUAAACGAUGCGAACUGGAUGUUGGGUCCAACUUGGGAUUCUGUAUCGAAGCUAACGCGUUAAGUUCGCCGCCUGGGGAGUACGGUCGCAAGACUGAAACUCAAAGGAAUUGACGGGGGCCCGCACAAGCGGUGGAGUAUGUGGUUUAAUUCG
rnacentral:rRNA from 1 species